GGAGUCAUAUUAUUUUAUAUCUACUUAAAAUUACUCAUACAGGCCUCCUUGUGGUACACCUCAGCCUAGGCCAUUGUGCCUGAUCUGUAUUGUGAAUGGAGAGACAUGG